rnacentral:piRNA from 1 species
GCUAAGGUAAGAAAAGUGAUGCAGGG